rnacentral:rRNA from 1 species
UAGGGAAUCUUCCACAAUGGACGCAAGUCUGAUGGAGCAACGGCCGCGUGAGUGAAGAAGGUCUUCGGAUCGUAAAGCUCUGUUGUUGGUGAAGAAGGAUAGAGGCAGUAACUGGUCUUUAUUUGACGGUAAUCAACCAGAAAGUCACGGCUAACUACGUGCCAGCAGCCGCGGUAAUACGUAGGUGGCAAGCGUUGUCCGGAUUUAUUGGGCGUAAAGCGAGCGCAGGCGGAAUGAUAAGUCUGAUGUGAAAGCCCACGGCUCAACCGUGGAACUGCAUCGGAAACUGUCAUUCUUGAGUGCAGAAGAGGAGAGUGGAACUCCAUGUGUAGCGGUGGAAUGCGUAGAUAUAUGGAAGAACACCAGUGGCGAAGGCGGCUCUCUGGUCUGCAACUGACGCUGAGGCUCGAAAGCAUGGGUAGCGAACAGGAUUAGAUACCCUGGUAGUCCAUGCC